GUGGGGAAUAUUGGGCAAUGGGCGAAAGCCUGACCCAGCAACGCCGCGUGAAGGAAGAAGGUUUUCGGAUCGUAAACUUCUAUCCUUGGUGAAGAUAAUGACGGUAGCCAAGAAGGAAGCCCCGGCUAACUACGUGCCAGCAGCCGCGGUAAUACGUAGGGGGCAAGCGUUGUCCGGAAUGAUUGGGCGUAAAGGGCGCGUAGGCGGCCCGGUAAGUCGGAAGUGAAAGUCCUGCUUUUAAGGUGGGAAUUGCUUUGGAUACUGUCGGGCUUGAGUGCAGGAGAGGUAAGCGGAAGUCCCGGUGUAGCGGUGAAAUGCGUAGAGAUCGGGGGGAACACCAGUGGCGAAGGCGGCUUACUGGACUGUAACUGACGCUGAGGCGCGAAAGUGUGGGGAGCAAACAGGAUUAGAAACCCGAGUAGUCC
rnacentral:rRNA from 1 species